UUAACUCAAAUUUGUACAGGGUUGGAAGAGCUUCCCUUCGUUUGCGCUAGGGGUGCUGUUCCAACUCCUUACAAAUUUGAGUGA
rnacentral:pre_miRNA from 1 species